rnacentral:lncRNA from 1 species
CCAGCCCCAACGCCGUCGCUCCUGCUGCUGCUGCGUUGCUAUUUCCCGCCGCCGCCGCACCUGCUGCUGUUGCUAUUUCCCACCGCCGCCGCGCCUAUUGUGCAGACUAAUGCACCUCCCAGCCCCACCUUCGUCGCUGCCGCUGCUACUCCGUUGCUAAUUCCCGCCGCCGCCGCACCUGCUGCUGUUGCUAUUUCCCGCCGCCGCCGUGCCUGUUGUUCAGACUAAUGUAUCUCCCAACCCCACCGCCGUCGCUGCCGCUGCUGCUGCGUUGCUGAUUCCCCCCGCCGCCGCGCCUGCUGUUGAGAGUAAUGGCCCUCCCAGCCCCACCUUCGUCGCUGCUGCUGCUGUUGCGUUGCUAUUUCCCGCCGCCGCCGCGCCUGCCGUUUAGGCUACUGCACCUCCCAGCCCCACCUUCGUCACUGCCGCUGCUACUCCGUUGCUAAUUCCCGCCGCCGCCGCGCCUGCUGCUGUUGCUAUUUCCCGCCGCUGCCACGCCUGCCGUUUAGGCUACUGCACCUCCCAGCCCCUUCGCCGUCGCUGCUGCUGCUGCUGCAUUGCUAUUUCCCGCCGCCUCCGCGCCUGUACUUCUGACACAUUACAGCCACACAGCGCAACCCCUCCAACAACAACAGGAUGCCAGAAUGCAGGGGCAGAGGAACAUACGCCUGUAUGGAGGCGCUGGCUCGCCACCUGCACCAUGCACACCUGGUCAACCCACCCCAGCGCUACCAGAUGGGGUGCACAGCCUGUACAAGGCUGCUGGCUCAUCAAGGCGCAUGCCAGGCACAUCCCAUGCGCACACCCUCCCUGCCCAGCCUACUUCUGACACAUUACAGCCACACAGCGCAACCUCUCCAACAACAACAGGAUGCCAGAAUGCAGGGGCAGAGGAACAUACGCCUGUAUGGAGGCGCUGGCUCGCCACCUGCACCAUGCACACCUGGUCAACCCAGCGCUACCAGAUGGGGUGCACAGCCUGUACAAGGCUGCUGGCCCAUCAAGGUGCAUGCCAGGCACAUCCCAUGUGCACACCCUCCCUGCCCAGCCUACUUCUGACACCGUUUGAACGUCAUCAUGGCCUUAGUCGGGGGAUGGCAAAACGAGGGGGGAAAGGGGUAAAACGUGGCGGAGCUGAAUGGUUAGGAGGGCGAUUUAAGGGUAUGACGGGGGCCCCCUGCAACCUAGGCGACGCAUUCGUUCGAACGUCACCAUGCCUGCAGUCCGGGGAUGGCAAAACGAGGGGGGAAAGGGGGAAAAUGUGGCAGGGUUGAUUGGUUAGGAGGGCGUGUUUAAGGGCAUGACGGGGGCCCCCUGCAACCUAGGCGACGCAUUCAUUUGAACGUCACCAUGGCCAGCAGUCCGUGGAUGUCAAAACGAGGGGGGAAAGGGGGAAAACGCGGCGGGGUUGAUUGGUUAGGAGGGUGUGUUUAAGGGCAUGACGGGGGCCCCCUGCAACCUAGGCGACGCAUUCAUUUGAACGUCACCAUGGCCACAGUCCGUGGAUGUCAAAACGAGGGGGAAAGGGGGAAAACGCGGCGGGGUGGAAUGGUUAGGAGGGUGUGUUUCAGGGCAUGACGGGGGGCCCCUGCAACCUAUGCGACGCAUUCGUUUGAAUGUCACCAUGGCCGCAGUCGGGGGAUGGCAAAACGAGGGGGGAAAGGGGGAAAAUGCGGCGGGGUGGAUUGGUUAGGUGGGCGUGUUUAACGGCAUGACGGGGG